CCCUUAGAUGUUCUGGGCCGCACGCGCGCUACACUGAUUCAUGCAACAAGUUUUGUCCUUGGCUGAUAGGCCUGGGUAAUCUUUGAACGUGAAUUGUGAUGGGGAUAGAUGAUUGCAAUUAUUCAUCUUCAACGAGGAAUUCCUAGUAAACGCAAGUCAUCAGCUUGCAUUGAUUACGUCCCUGCCCUUUGUACACACCGCCCGUCGCACCUACCGAUUGAAUGGUCCGGUGAAAUCUUCGGAUCUGAGAGAUGUCUGAUUAAUUUCGGACGCCUUUUGGAAAAGUUGCUUAAACCUUACCAUUUAGAGGAAGGUGAAGUCGUAACA
rnacentral:rRNA from 1 species